GACGAACGCUGGCGGCGUGCCUAACACAUGCAAGUCGAACGGGAAGGCCCUGCUUUUGCUGGUUGCUCGAGUGGCGAACGCGUGUGUAACACGCGAGUAUCCUGCCCUUGUCUUUCUGAUAACUUCUGGAAACUGGGGCUAUUAUCGCAUAUGAUCUCCUGCUCCAUGUUGGGGGUUGGAAAGUUUCGGCGGUUGGGUCUGGACUCGCGGCUUCCCCGCUUGUUGGUCGGGUAGUGGCUUACCAAGGGUUUGACGGGUAGCCGGCAUGAGAGGGGGACCGGCCACAAGGGGACUGAGAUACGGACCAGAAGCCAACGGGAGGCAGCAGGGGAGAAUAUUGCACAGUGGGGGGGAGCCAGAGGCAGCAACGCCGGGUGCGGGAAGACGUGCUUCGAGGGGUAAACAGAUGUGGAAUGUAACGAAGAGGGAGUGACGGUAAUGGGUAAAGAAGCACCGGCUAACUACGUG
rnacentral:rRNA from 1 species